rnacentral:rRNA from 1 species
UACGAAUAAGGAUCGGCUAACUCCGUGCCAGCAGCCGCGGUAAUACGGAGGAUCCGAGCGUUAUCCGGAUUUAUUGGGUUUAAAGGGAGCGUAGGCGGGUGCUUAAGUCAGUUGUGAAAGUUUGCGGCUCAACCGUAAAAUUGCAGUUGAUACUGGGUACCUUGAGUGCAGCAUAGGUAGGCGGAAUUCGUGGUGUAGCGGUGAAAUGCUUAGAUAUCACGAAGAACUCCGAUUGCGAAGGCAGCUUACUGGACUGUAACUGACGCUGAUGCUCGAAAGUGUGGGUAUCAAACAGGAUUAGAUACCCUGGUAGUCCACACAGUAAACGAUGAAUACUCGCUGUUUGCGAUAUACGGCAAGCGGCCAAGCGAAAGCAUUAAGUAUUCCACCUGGGGAGUACGCCGGCAACGGUGAAACUCAAAGGAAUUGACGGGGGCCCGCACAAGCGGAGGAACAUGUGGUUUAAUUCGAUGAUACGCGAGGAACCUUACCCGGGCUUGAAUUGCAACUGAAUGAUGUGGAGACAUGUCAGCCGCAAGGCAGUUGUGAAGGUGCUGCAUGGUUGUCGUCAGCUCGUGCCGUGAGGUGUCGGCUUAAGUGCCAUAACGAGCGCAACCCUUAUCUAUAGUUACUAUCAGGUCAUGCUGAGGACUCUAUGGAGACUGCCGUCGUAAGAUGUGAGGAAGGUGGGGAUGACGUCAAAUCAGCACGGCCCUUACGUCCGGGGCUACACACGUGUUACAAUGGGGGGUACAGAAGGCAGCUACCUGGCGACAGGAUGCUAAUCCCAAAAACCUCUCUCAGUUCGGAUCGAAGUCUGCAACCCGACUUCGUGAAGCUGGAUUCGCUAGUAAUCGCGCAUCAGCCACGGCGCGGUGAAUACGUUCCCGGGCCUUGUACACACCGCCCGUCAAGCCAUGAAAGCCGGGGGUACCUGAAGUACGUAACCGCAAGGAGCGUCCUAGGGUAAAACUGGUGACUGGGGCUAAGUCGUAACAAGGUAGCCGUACCGGAAGGUGCGGCUG